GAUUGAACGCUGGCGGCAUGCUUUACACAUGCAAGUCGAACGGCAGCGCGGGCUUCGGCCUGGCGGCGAGUGGCGAACGGGUGAGUAAUGCAUCGGAACGUGCCCAGUAGUGGGGGAUAGCCCGGCGAAAGCCGGAUUAAUACCGCAUACGACCUGAGGGUGAAAGCGGGGGACCGAAAGGCCUCGCGCUAUUGGAGCGGCCGAUGUCGGAUUAGCUAGUUGGUGGGGUAAAGGCUUACCAAGGCGACGAUCCGAAGCUGGUCUGAGAGGACGACCAGCCACACUGGGACUGAGACACGGCCCAGACUCCUACGGGAGGCAGCAGUGGGGAAUUUUGGACAAUGGGGGCAACCCUGAUCCAGCCAUGCCGCGUGCGGGAAGAAGGCCUUCGGGUUGUAAACCGCUUUUGUUCGGGAAGAAAUCCUCUGGGCUAAUACCCCGGGGGGAUGACGGUACCGGAAGAAUAAGCACCGGCUAACUACGUG
rnacentral:rRNA from 1 species